rnacentral:rRNA from 1 species
CCGUAACUAUAACGGUCCUAAGGUAGCGAAAUUCCUUGUCGGGUAAGUUCCGACCUGCACGAAUGGCAUAAUGAUGGCGGCGCUGUCUCCAGCAGAGGCUCAGUGAAAUCGAAAUCGCUGUGAAGAUGCAGUGUACCCGCGGCUAGACGGAAAGACCCCGUGAACCUUUACUGCAGCUUGACACUGAACUUUGACCUUACUUGUGUAGGAUAGGUGGGAGGCUUUGAAGCUGGAACGCUAGUUCCAGUGGAGCCGUCCUUGAAAUACCACCCUGGUAAUGUUGAGGUUCUAACUCUGUCCCGUGAUCCGGGACGAGGACCGUGUCUGGUGGGUAGUUUGACUGGGGCGGUCUCCUCCUAAAGAGUAACGGAGGAGUACGAAGGUGCGCUCAGCGUGGUCGGAAAUCACGCGUAGAGUAUAAAGGCAAAAGCGCGCUUAACUGCGAGACCCACAAGUCGAGCAGGUACGAAAGUAGGUCUUAGUGAUCCGGUGGUUCUGUAUGGAAGGGCCAUCGCUCAACGGAUAAAAGGUACUCUGGGGAUAACAGGCUGAUACCGCCCAAGAGUUCAUAUCGACGGCGGUGUUUGGCACCUCGAUGUCGGCUCAUCUCAUCCUGGGGCUGAAGCAGGUCCCAAGGGUAUGGCUGUUCGCCAUUUAAAGAGGUACGCGAGCUGGGUUUAGAACGUCGUGAGACAGUUCGGUCCCUAUCUACCGUGGGCGCUGGAAAUUUGAGAGGAUCUGCUCCUAGUACGAGAGGACCAGAGUGGACGAACCUCUGGUGUACCGGUUGUGACGCCAGUCGCAUCGCCGGGUAGCUAUGUUCGGAAGGGAUAACCGCUGAAAGCAUCUAAGCGGGAAGCCUACCUCAAGAUAAGAUUUCCCUAGGACUUUAUGUCCUCUAAAGAGCCGUUCGAGACUAGGACGUUGAUAGGUUGGAUGUGGAAGCAUAGUGAUAUGUGAAGCUGACCAAUACUAAUUGCUCGUGAGGCUUGACUAUACAACACCCAAGCAGUUG